UCCCGUAUUAUCACUCUGCAACUCACAACUGGCAACCCACUGAAGCUAAGCAGGUGUGAGCCUGGUCAGUACUUGGAUGGGAGACCUCCUGGGAAAAACUAAGGUUGCUGCUGGAA
rnacentral:rRNA from 1 species